rnacentral:lncRNA from 1 species
GGAAAAUGUUAUAGUUAGGGAUGGAGAUUUCAGGGUUUUUGGUGGUUUUCCUAAGCCAGGAUUCAGACACGUCUAAGACAUCCGAGUUGGCAGAGUGUGCUAAAGCAGUGAGUAAAACAAACUUAGGGAGUAGGCUUCUAAUGUUAACAUGCAAGGCUUUUACGGUUACAGAAGUCAACAAAUGAGAGCACCUGGAGAGUGGGAGUGGAGCUAGGCACUGCAGGACCUGGAUUAACCUCUACAUCACCAGAGGAACAGAGGAGAAGUAGGAUAAGGGUACGGCUAAAGGCUAUACAAACUGGCUGUCUAGCACGUUUGGAACAGAGAGUAAAUGGAGCAGGUUUCUGGGCAUGAUAGCAUAGAUUCAAGGCAUAGUGUACAGACAAAGGUAAGGUAGGAAGUGAGUACAUUGGAAGUAAACCUAGUCAUUGAGUAAGGAUGAGAGAGAUAUAGUCUCUAGAGACAUUUAAGCCAAGUGAUGUCAUCGCAUAUGUAGGAGGUGGAACAACAUGGUUGAUAUUGAUAUUGAGCAGGGCUAGAAGCUCUACAGUGAAAUAAGACAGUAAUCACUAACCAGGACAGUAAUGGACGAGGCAUAUUGAUAUUAGAGAGAGGCAUGCGUAGCCAAGUGAACAUAUGGGUCCAGUGAGUGGUUGGACUGGCUGGGGACACGGCGAUUCAGACAGUUAGCAGGCCGGUGUUAACAAGCUAGCAGAUAGUAGGCCAGGGCCAACAAGCUAGCAGUUAACAGACCGGGGCUAGCAAGCUAGCAGUUAGCAGACCGGGUUAGCAAGCUAGCAGUUAGCAGACUGGGGCAAGCAAGCUAGCAGUUAGCAGACCGGGGCAAGCAAGCUAGCAGUUAGCAGACCGGGGCUAGCAAGCUAGCAGUUAGCAGACCGGGGCUAGCAAGUUAGCAGAAGGGCCUUUGGGGGACGUCGUGAUGGAGGUAUACAGACGAAGAGGCAUAUAAAGACUUCACCCUCCCUACACCUCUGAUGACUAUAACAGGAAACCUGUUUGAUUGCCAGGCACUGCAAAAUCAUUCUGGCUAUGGAUACGGAGAACAUCAACACUGACAUCAACACGCCAGAGGAUAUACCCAUUAUACUUGGGGCUCUUCUGGGGGUUUACCUCAUACUUGGAUUAAAAAAAUUCUGCUUUGCCACUAAAAUCAUAAUAAACACUGACAACUAAAA